UUUAUUUUGCAGGAUAUGGGCGAGUUCUGGUGACCUAGACAGGUUAUACGCACAACAGGUAGCAAAAUUCAGGGCCUGAUUAACCUGCAAAUUUUCGUGGUGAAAGCUGAAAGGGUGAUAACUCUCUGGAAAAGUUUGGGGGAUCUGUCAGUCGCCUAACACCUGUAUAGUAUGUAUACCUGCUUGUAAUGAUUUUGAGGGAAAGUCUGUUGCUAGUUCGUCAGAUUUAAACUAAAUAAAUCAUGACACUUGUAUUUAUGCGACUCGGAGCACCGCAAUCAUCUCGCUGCACUGCAGAGAUAGGAAGCGCAGCGUCCAGGAAGGCUGCUCUGAUUGAAGCACCAGGGAAUGAAAAAGGACCUUGACAGCAAUAUAGCGGAGGCGCCGAAGGAGUGGAAGAAGACCUUCAGGUCGGUGAACAGCAUUACCAUGCGCCUACCCUGCUUCAAGGACGGCCAUCAGGGACAUCAGAGACAUCUUGAACAUCUGUUCGAUGUAUUAUUCCAUGGCUUCAGAUUGGCUGGAGAAAUAUGGUAGCUCCAACAGGACAAUCGAGCUGAGUAGUUUCAUGAGUAGGCUCCAGGUUGAGAUGUCAGAGAAGGAGGCCGAUCGACGACCAGUGUAACGUGUAAUUCAAUUCAGGCUCCCCCUAGUGUUUGUUUGUCAAAAUGUAACAAACCACCAGUUGCAAGUUAAACCAAGUUCUGGGGCAACAUGUAAUUCAAUUUAGGGGCAA